GACGAACCGAGCGAACGUUGUUCGGAAUCACUGGGCUUAAAGCGCACGUAGGCGGCUUCUUAAGUCGGUGGUGAAAUCCUGGAGCUCAACUCCAGAACUGCCUUCGAUACUGGGAAGCUCGAGUCCGGGAGAGGUGAGUGGAACUGCGAGUGUAGAGGUGAAAUUCGUAGAUAUUCGCAAGAACACCGGUGGCGAAGGCGGUUCUCUGGGCAUUACCUGACGCUGAGGAGCGAAAGUGUGGGGAGCGAACAGG
rnacentral:rRNA from 1 species